AGGGAAGUAGUUAACCAUAACAUUUGAAUUGCAAUCAAAAAGUAUUGAAUAUUAAUCAAUCUUCCUU
rnacentral:tRNA from 1 species